rfam:Lepisosteus oculatus linkage group LG4, whole genome shotgun sequence.
GCCAGCAGCCAUAUCACCCUGCAAAUCACAACUAGCAACCCACUGAAGUGAAGCAGGUGGGAGCCUGGUCAGUACCUGGAUGGGAGACCUCCUGGGAAAAACUAAGAUUGCUGCUGGAA